AGCGAACGCUGGCGGCAGGCUUAACACAUGCAAGUCGAGCGGGCAUCCUUGUGGUGUCAGCGGCAGACGGGUGAGUAACGCGUGGGAACGUGCCCUUCGGUUCGGAAUAACUCAGGGAAACUUGAGCUAAUACCGGAUACGUGCGAGAGCAGAAAGGUUUAUCUGCCGAAGGAUCGGCCCGCGUCUGAUUAGCUAGUUGGUGAGGUUAUGGCUCACCAAGGCGACGAUCAGUAGCUGGUCUGAGAGGAUGAUCAGCCACACUGGGACUGAGACACGGCCCAGACUCCUACGGGAGGCAGCAGUGGGGAAUAUUGGACAAUGGGGGCAACCCUGAUCCAGCCAGGCCGCGUGAGUGAUGACGGCCUUAGGGUUGUAAAGCUCUUUUCUCCGGGACGAUAAUGACGGUACCGGAGGAAUAAGCCCCGGCUAACUUCGUG
rnacentral:rRNA from 1 species